rnacentral:rRNA from 1 species
GAUGAACGCUAGCUACAGGCUUAACACAUGCAAGUCGAGGGACCGGCGCACGGGUGAGUAACACGUAUCCAACCUGCCCUUUACUCGGGGAUAGCCUUUCGUAAGAAAGACUAAUACCCGAUGUAAAGGAUGGGGAUGCGUUCCUUUAGGUUGUUGGGGAGGUAACGGCGCACCAAGCCUUCGAUGGAUAGGGGUUCGGAGAGGAAGGUCCCGCACAUUGGGACUGAGACACGGGCCAAACGCCUACGGGAAGCAGCAGUGAGGAAUAUUGGUCAAUGGGCGUUAGCCUGAACCAGCCAAGUAGCGUGAAGGAUGAAGGCUUAUGGGUCGUAAACUUCUUUUAUAUAAGAAUAUGUAUUAUAUGAAUAAGGAUCGGCUAACUACGUGCCAGCGGCCGCGGUAAUU